rnacentral:rRNA from 1 species
GAUGAACGCUAGCUACAGGCUUAACACAUGCAAGUCGAGGGGAAACGACAUCGAAAGCUUGCUUUUGAUGGGCGUCGACCGGCGCACGGGUGAGUAACGCGUAUCCAACCUGCCCGCCACUUGGGGAUAACCUUGCGAAAGUAAGACUAAUACCCAAUGAUAUCCCACGAAGGCAUCCGAAUGGGGUUAAAGAUUUAUCGGUGAUGGAUGGGGAUGCGUCUGAUUAGCUUGUUGGCGGGGUAACGGCCCACCAAGGCUACGAUCAGUAGGGGUUCUGAGAGGAAGGUCCCCCACAUUGGAACUGAGACACGGUCCAAACUCCUACGGGAGGCAGCAGUGAGGAAUAUUGGUCAAUGGGCGAGAGCCUGAACCAGCCAAGUAGCGUGCAGGAUGACGGCCCUAUGGGUUGUAAACUGCUUUUAUAAGGGAAUAAAGUGAGUCUCGUGAGACUUUUUGCAUGUACCUUAUGAAUAAGGACCGGCUAAUUCCGUG